ACGGAAGGCAGCAGUGGGGGAUAUUGGACAAUGGGGGAAACCCUGAUCCAGCGACGCCGCGUGAGUGAAGAAGUAUUUCGGUAUGUAAAGCUCUAUCAGCAGGGAAGAAAAAGCGCAAGCAUUGACAGUACCUGACUAAGAAGCCCCGGCUAACUACGUGCCAGCAGCCGCGGUAAUACGUAGGGGGCAAGCGUUAUCCGGAUUUACUGGGUGUAAAGGGAGCGUAGGCGGUACGGCAAGUCAGAUGUGAAAGCCCGGGGCUCAACCCCGGGACUGCAUUUGAAACUGUCGAACUAGAGUAUCGGAGAGGUGAGUGGAAUUCCAAGUGUAGCGGUGAAAUGCGUAGAUAUUUGGAAGAACACCGGUAGCGAAGGCGGCUCACUGGGCGAUAACUGACGCUGAGGCUCGAAAGCGUGGGGAGCAAACAGGAUUAGAUACCCUGGUA
rnacentral:rRNA from 1 species